rnacentral:rRNA from 1 species
GACGAACGCUGGCGGCGUGCUUAACACAUGCAAGUCGAACGCUGAAGCUUGGUGCUUGCACUGGGUGGAUGAGUGGCGAACGGGUGAGUAAUACGUGAGUAACCUGCCCUUGACUCUGGGAUAAGCCUGGGAAACUGGGUCUAAUACUGGAUACGACAUGUCACCGCAUGGUGGUGUGUGGAAAGGGUUUUACUGGUUUUGGAUGGGCUCACGGCCUAUCAGCUUGUUGGUGGGGUAAUGGCUCACCAAGGCGACGACGGGUAGCCGGCCUGAGAGGGUGACCGGCCACCCUGGGACUGAGACACGGCCCAGACUCCUACGGGAGGCAGCAGUGGGGAAUAUUGCACAAUGGGCGGAAGCCUGAUGCAGCGACGCCGCGUGAGGGAUGACGGCCUUCGGGUUGUAAACCUCUUUCAGCACGGAAGAAGCGAAAGUGACGGUACGUGCAGAAGAAGCGCCGGCUAACUACGUG